UCACUCCUCCAAUAGGAGACUGGGGUGAAUGUGACCAAGAUCUCGGAUGCACCUGGAUCAGGGGUCCCUCUCCUAGUUGGCCGAGGCUGUCCCUGCUUUUGCUCUCUAGGGGCUCGUGGGUUUAGAAUAAAGCGUGGAGACAACGAAAACGUCCGAAGGCUGGUACUACAAGUUUUUUCUGAGCAAUUUUCUUCCUUGGGAUUUAUUGACUAAUUUUCUUACAUAGUUAAGGUAACGUGAUGGAAGGCAGGACACCUUUGUUCCAAUCUUCUGCUUUUUGUCCCUAAACUACAAACUGAUGAUCACUAAGCCUCAGUUGCCUUACCUGUGAAAGGGGAGGAUAAUAUUUACCUGCCUCACUGACAGGAUCAGGCUGUGAAUCUGGGCUACACUCAACAGAUGGGCAGUCUUUCAAAGUCCUUGAGAACUGCCUGCAGCCUGAGCAAUUGUGAAAAGGAGGCGGACACAGGUUUAAAUAGACAUGAAUGGGUGUGGCGCCUUAUAUUUUUCAUUUGGUAUGUUCCUAUUUUUUAAGUUCUGGUUGUAUGAGAGAGACUUCCCUAUGGGAAUGUGAGAUUGUUUUUGCUUGGUGGAUAUGUUGCAUACAUUUGGAAAUGAAGUUGGAAGAGACAGAGCUGACCAAUGAAGAAAAAAUAUGUCUCUCACCUUUGGGGUGAAGUCCUGGGAGGAGACCUGGAGCUAUCUGACUGCAGCUCCGAGACCCAGGUCCCCAGAACAAGCCUGGAGAGUGGUUAUUGCUCCUGCUUCCAUGGAAACGCACAAGAUUGGGGGAGACCAGGGCUGCUGUGCUGAUGAUGUGACAAUGUCCCUGAAAACAAAAGGCUGCAUGUGACGACGUGGAUUAUCAUCUUUCCAAUAAACGUGUGGGCCAGAAUAACU